CGCCGCGGUAAUACCGGCAGCACAAGUGAUGACCGCUAUUAUUGGGCCUAAAGCGUCCGUAGCUGGCCACGCAAGUCCAUCGGGAAAUCUCUCCGCUCAACGGAGAGGCGUCCGGUGGAAACUGCAUGGCUUGGGACCGGAAGAUCCAGAGGGUACGUCUGGGGUAGGAGUGAAAUCCUGUAAUCCGAGACGGACCACCGGUGGCGAAAGCGCUCUGGAAAGACGGAUCCGACGGUGAGGGACGAAAGCUCGGGUCACGAACCGGAUUAGAUACCCGGGUAGUCCGAGCUGUAAACGAUGUCUGCUAGGUGUGGCACAGGCUACGAGCCUGUGCUGUGCCGUAGGGAAGCCGUGAAGCAGACCGCCUGGGAAGUACGUCUGCAAGGAUGAAACUUAAAGGAAUUGGCGGGGGAGCACUACAACCGGAGGAGCCUGCGGUUUAAUUGGACUCAACGCCGGACAUCUCACCAGCAUCGACAGUGUGCAGUGAAAGUCAGUGUGAUGAGCUUACUGGAGCCACUGAGAGGUGGUGCAUGGCC
rnacentral:rRNA from 1 species